AAGUCGUAACAAGGUUACCGUAGGUGAGCCUGCGGAAGGAUCAUUACCAAUUUUAGCGAGCCUGGCAUUACGUUCAUGGUCUCGUGAAAUUAUUGUAUUUAAAACCCCACUCUUCUAUAAUAAAAUAAUAUGUAUCAUGAUAAAAAUUAAAGAUCA
rnacentral:misc_RNA from 1 species